rfam:Colwellia sp. PAMC 21821, complete genome.
AUUGCUUGGUUUACAUCGUGGGUUCAGUGAAUAAGCCCCGCGUAUUGGGGCUUUUUUGUAUCUUAACUUUGUGAAAAGGUGCAAUAGCAGCAAGGUAUAUCGCUGGGCUUUAAGCCCUUUUUUU